rnacentral:rRNA from 1 species
AGGAACAACGCUGGCGGCGUGCCUAACGCAUGCAAGUCGGGCGGGGUCGUCUUUCGGGGCGGCUCAGCGGCGGACGGGUGAGGAGCACGUGAUCGACCUGCCCAUGAGUGGGGGCCAACCCCGGGAAACCGGGGCUGUUACCGCAUGCGUCCGGCCCCUGGUGGGGGGGUUGGGGAAAGCCUUUCGGGGCGCUCAUGGAGGGGAUUGCGUCCGAUUAGCUAGUCGGCGGGGUAAAGGCUCACCAAGGCUACGAUCCGUAGCUGGUCUGAGAGGACGACCAGCCACACUGGGACUGAGACACGGCCCAGACUCCUACGGGAGGCAGCAGUGGGGAAUUUUGGACAAUGGGCGAAAGCCUGAUCCAGCCAUGCCGCGUGUGUGAAGAAGGCCUUCGGGUUGUAAAGCUACUUUUGUUCGGAACGAAACGUCAAAGACGAAUAAUCUUUGAUAAUGACGGUACCGGAAGAAUAAGCACCGGCUAACUACGCGCCAGCAGCCGCGGUAA